AUUGAACGCUGGCGGCAGGCUUAACACAUGCAAGUCGGGCGAGUGGCGGACGGGUGAGUAAUGUAUGGGAAUCUGCCUGAUGGAGGGGGAUAACUACUGGAAACGGUAGCUAAUACCGCAUACCCUCAGAUGAACCCAAAUGGGAUUAGCUUGUUGGUGGGGUAAUGGCUCACCAAGGCGACCAUCCCUAGCUGGUCUGAGAGGAUGACCAGCCACACUGGGACUGAGACACGGCCCAGACUCCUACGGGAGGCAGCAGUGGGGAAUAUUGCACAAUGGGCGCAAGCCUGAUGCAGCCAUGCCGCGUGUAUGAAGAAGGCCUUCGGGUUGUAAAGUACUUUCAGUCGGGAGGCGUUACCGACAGAAGAAGCACCGGCUAACUCCGUGCCAGCAGCCGCGGUAAUAC
rnacentral:rRNA from 1 species